UACGUAGGCGGAAGAUUAAGUCAGUGGUGAAAUCCUGCAGCUUAACUGUAGAACUGUCAUUGAUACUGGUUUUCUUGAAUUUAGUUGAGGUAGGCGGAAUGUGUAAUGUAGCGGUGAAAUGCUUAGAUAUUACACAGAACACCGAUUGCGAAGGCAGCUUACUAAACUAUGAUUGACGCUGAGGUACGAAAACGUGGGGAGCGAACAGGAUUAGAUACCCUGGUAGUCC
rnacentral:rRNA from 1 species